rnacentral:lncRNA from 1 species
GUAGUUUUGUAAAAGUACAAAAAAGAACUUCCAACCAGAUCUAUUUAACCGUUUGAUUAUUAUUAUUAAGGGCAUCCGUAUUACUUAACACAUUACACGGUUUCUUGGCGACAUAGAUGCAAAGACAUGUCAUUCUUACAUUGCUUUGAAUGUUUAUUUUAUAUAGCCAACUGCAAUAAACUGUCUCUUUAAUUAUUAUCAUGCACACUCGACAUGUUUUUCUUGCAUAGAGAUCCAACAUCUAAAAAUAAAAUUGAGAAUGGAAAUUUGGGAUGUGUCAAGGAGACAACAACCCGACCAUAGAGCAGACAACAGCCGAAAGCCACCAGUGGGCCAACAAUGGAUCUCCUUAUUUUAAUAUGAAUUGAAGGAUUUGUGUAGUAUGCUAAUUACUGAUGUAGUUAACAGUGAAUUAUGAUGCAAGUAUAUUGUAUUGCAGAUACCAAAG